AUUGAACGCUGGCGGCAUGCCUUACACAUGCAAGUCGAACGGUAACAGGUCUUCGGAUGCUGACGAGUGGCGCACGGGUGAGUAAUACAUCGGAACGUGCCCGAUCGUGGGGGAUAACGAGGCGAAAGCUUUGCUAAUACCGCAUACGAUCUACGGAUGAAAGCGGGGGAUCUUCGGACCUCGCGCGGACGGAGCGGCCGAUGGCAGAUUAGGUAGUUGGUGGGAUAAAAGCUUACCAAGCCGACGAUCUGUAGCUGGUCUGAGAGGAUGAUCAGCCACACUGGGACUGAGACACGGCCCAGACUCCUACGGGAGGCAGCAGUGGGGAAUUUUGGACAAUAGGCGAAAGCCUGAUCCAGCCAUGCCGCGUGCAGGAUGAAGGCCUUCGGGUUGUAAACUGCUUUUGUACGGAACGAAAAGCCUCUUUCUAAUAAAGAGGGGUCAUGACGGUACCGUAAGAAUAAGCACCGGCUAACUACGUG
rnacentral:rRNA from 1 species